rnacentral:rRNA from 1 species
UGACCUCAAAUCAGGUAGGAUUACCCGCUGAACUUAAGCAUAUCAAUAAGCGGAGGAAAAGAAACUAACAAGGAUDCCCCUAGUARCGAGCGAAGU